ensembl:sense_intronic Gm28512 predicted gene 28512
GCCAGGGACUACUUCAUACCUAGAAAUCUUAUUAUACGCCUUUUCUUUUAAAUGUACUUAGAGACUCAGCAGGCAAAGGUGCUUGCCAGACAAGCCCGGUGACCUGAGUUUGAGCCCUGGAAGGGUGUACAGGAAGAAGCAGAGAACUGACACCCAAAGUUGUCUUCUGACCUCCAUCAGCCUGCCCAAACACACACAGCAUGUAAUGCACACACACACACACACACACACACACACACACACACACACACACACACACAUUCCUUCUCUGCAUCAGGAGCAAGCUCUGCCCAGAGCUUUGGAAUUUUGUAGUAAGCUACUGUAGUCCAAGCAGCACUUACAGUCAUCACUGGCAAAAGACUCUCUGCCUGCCAUGUAUUAGCUGUGGGAUGGUUUGACUAUGUGUGAUGGUUUGUAUAUCCUUGGACCAGGGAGUGGCACCAUCUGGAGAUGUGGCCUUGUUGGAAUAGGUGUGACCUGGUUGGAAUAGGUGUGUCACUGUGGGUGUGGGCAUAAGAUCCUCACCCNNNNNAGUGGCACUAUUAGGAGGUGAGGCCUUGUUGGAGUAGGUGUGUCACUGUGGGCAUGGGAUUUAAGACCCUCAUCCUAGCUACCUGAGAG